rnacentral:rRNA from 1 species
UUGAACGCUGGCGGCAUGCCUAACACAUGCAAGUCGAACGGCAGCAUGGUCUAGUUUACUAGACUGAUGGCGAGUGGCGGACGGGUGAGUAACGCGUAGGAAUAUACCUUAAAGAGGGGGAUAACUUGGGGAAACUCAAGCUAAUACCGCGUAAGUUCUGAGGAAGAAAGCUGGGGACCUUUUGGCCUGGCGCUUUAAGAAUAGCCUGCGUACGAUUAGCUAGUUGGUGAGGUAAGGGCUCACCAAGGCGACGAUCGUUAGCUGGUCUGAGAGGAUGGCCAGCCACACUGGGACUGAGACACGGCCCAGACUCCUACGGGAGGCAGCAGUGGGGAAUAUUGGACAAUGGGGGGAACCCUGAUCCAGCAAUGCCGCGUGUGUGAAGAAGGCCUGAGGGUUGUAAAGCACUUUCAGUGGGGAGGAGGGUUGAUUGGUUAAGAGCUGAUUAAUUGGACGUUACCCACAGAAGAGGCACCGGCUAACUCCGUGCCAGCAGCCGCCGUAA